GAAACUUUCGCAAAUAUCGGUUGUUAGGUGUAGGCCACGGUGUGUGUAGGCUGUGGGGAUCGAGUUGGGGUGGAGAUUCGCGUUGCGUUUUUAGAUACUGGCACUUUGUUGACCAGUGUGGGGCAUUUUGAGGUCGGCAGUCAUUUACGGAGUUUGACUUGUAAACUACGAGAAACAGAAAUCGUGCAGCUAUGAGCUUCUUCUCGAGAAUGUUUGGCGGUGGGAAGGGCGGCGAAAAAGCUCCUUCCCCUGGAGAGGCAAUUCAGAGAUUGCGUGAGAUAGAGGAAAUGUUAAAUAAGAAGCAGGAUUUUCUCGAGUCCAAGGUAAAACUAGAGUUAGAUCAAGCCAAAAAGCACGGAACGAAGAACAAGAGAGCCGCCCUUGCUGCUUUGAAGCGGAAGCGCAGGUAUGAGAAGCAGCUUGCACAGAUCGAUGGCACCCUGACCACCAUAGAGUUUCAGCGAGAAGCACUUGAAAAUGCUAACACCAACACAGAAGUUCUCAAGAUCAUGGGCCUGGCUGCCAAGGCCCUCAAGAAUGCUCACGAAAACAUGGAUGUGGACAAGGUGCACGACCUCAUGGAUGAGGUGCAGGAACAGCAGGAAAUUGCCAAUGAAAUUUCGGAGGCAAUCUCUAACCCUGUUGGAUUUGGCACUGAUGUGGAUGACGAUGAGCUGCUCGAGGAGCUAGAGUCGCUGGAGCAAGAAGAGCUGGACGAGAAGUUGAUCGACGUGGCUGGUCCAGCUACGGAGAACCUGCCCGAGGUGCCCACGGCAGAACCUGCCCGCGUCCCUGCAGCUGCAUCCAAGGCAAAGGUUGCAGUGGAGGAAGACCCAGACAUGAUGGAGCUGGCUAAAUGGGCCUCCUGAAUGAAUAAUGUUGUUCACACACACACACACCUGUCUUGACAUCCGCAAGCAGCGCUCCUGGAGUUCCGUUACUUUGACUUGAGCUACUGCCACUGGAACAAUGAUUCAGUCACCUUUGUUGGUUAGCUGCAAGAAGGGUGGCCGGUACAGCUUUGUAUGGAAACCAAAUGCUACCUAAAAUUGCUGCCUUGCUGUAUUUUCACGAAAAUAGGGCAGUUGUGAUGUUCUUUUAAGCAGACUUAGCAUGGUAGGGUGUCCUUUCUAGUUUUCAGCUGUGUAAAUAUAUUCAGUUAAUAAAAUACAAUUUCAUAACCUGCAUAUGCAGGACAAACUGCAA